rnacentral:ncRNA from 2 species
CAUUCCUGGACUGGAACAGGUGCCAGCGCUUCCAUCGCGAAGUCAGGAUAAUCGGGAAGUAUGGAUAGCGUGAUCGUUGAUCAUCAAUCCCAUCGCUGCCCCCGCAUCGGUAAUAAAGAGCUAUUUACAUAAGCCACUAGAUUUAAGUGAUCUGGGAAGGCGUAAAUCUUUCGGUUGGGUCGUAUUGGCGCAACCCUCUUUGAGCCCGAAGACCGGCCUGAUCUACCACUAAAAC